rnacentral:rRNA from 1 species
UACGGGGGGGGCAAGCGUUGUUCGGAAUUACUGGGCGUAAAGGGCUCGUAGGUUGCCAACUAAGUCGGACGUGAAAUCCCUCAGCUUAACUGGGGAACUGCGUCCGAUACUGGAUGGCUUGGAUUUGGGAGAGGGAUGCGGAAUUCCAGGUGUAGCGGUGAAAUGCGUAGAUAUCAGGAGGAACACCGGUGGCGAAGGCGGCUUUCUGGACAGAUACCGACGCUGAGGCACGAAAGCUAGGGGAGCAAACAGG